rnacentral:rRNA from 1 species
GGGGAAUAUUGGUCAAUGGGCGAGAGCCUGAACCAGCCAAGUAGCGUGAAGGAUGACUGCCCUAUGGGUUGUAAACUUCUUUUAUAAAGGAAUAAAGUCGGGUAUGUAUACCCGUUUGCAUGUACUUUAUGAAUAAGGAUCGGCUAACUCCGUGCCAGCAGCCGCGGUAAUACGGAGGAUCCGAGCGUUAUCCGGAUUUAUUGGGUUUAAAGGGAGCGUAGAUGGAUAUUUAAGUCAGUUGUGAAAGUUUGCGGCUCAACCGUAAAAUUGCAGUUGAUACUGGAUAUCUUGAGUGCAGUUGAGGCAGGCGGAAUUCGUGGUGUAGCGGUGAAAUGCUUAGAUAUCACGAAGAACUCCGAUUGCGAAGGCAGCCUGCUAAGCUGCAACUGACAUUGAGGCUCGAAAGUGUGGGUAUCAAACAGGAUUAGAUACCCUGGUAGUCCACACGGUAAACGAUGAAUACUCGCUGUUUGCGAUAUACGGCAAGCGGCCAAGCGAAAGCGUUAAGUAUUCCACCUGGGGAGUACGCCGGCAACGGUGAAACUCAAAGGAAUUGACGGGGGCCCGCACAAGCGGAGGAACAUGUGGUUUAAUUCGAUGAUACGCGAGGAACCUUACCCGGGCUUAAAUUGCAGAUGAAUUACGGUGAAAGCCGUAAGCCGCAAGGCAUCUGUGAAGGUGCUGCAUGGUUGUCGUCAGCUCGUGCCGUGAGGUGUCGGCUUAAGUGCCAUAACGAGCGCAACCCUUGUUGUCAGUUACUAACAGGUUUUGCUGAGGACUCUGACAAGACUGCCAUCGUAAGAUGUGAGGAAGGUGGGGAUGACGUCAAAUCAGCACGGCCCUUACGUCCGGGGCUACACACGUGUUACAAUGGGGGGUACAGAGGGCCGCUACCACGCGAGUGGAUGCCAAUCCCCAAAACCUCUCUCAGUUCGGACUGGAGUCUGCAACCCGACUCCACGAAGCUGGAUUCGCUAGUAAUCGCGCAUCAGCCACGGCGCGGUGAAUACGUUCCCG